rnacentral:rRNA from 1 species
AGUGAACGCUGGCGGUAGGCCUAACACAUGCAAGUCGAACGGCAGCACAGAGGAGCUUGCUCCUUGGGUGGCGAGUGGCGGACGGGUGAGGAAUACAUCGGAAUCUACUCUGUCGUGGGGGAUAACGUAGGGAAACUUACGCUAAUACCGCAUACGACCUACGGGUGAAAGCAGGGGAUCUUCGGACCUUGCGCGAUUGAAUGAGCCGAUGUCGGAUUAGCUAGUUGGCGGGGUAAAGGCCCACCAAGGCGACGAUCCGUAGCUGGUCUGAGAGGAUGAUCAGCCACACUGGAACUGAGACACGGUCCAGACUCCUACGGGAGGCAGCAGUGGGGAAUAUUGGACAAUGGGCGCAAGCCUGAUCCAGCCAUACCGCGUGGGUGAAGAAGGCCUUCGGGUUGUAAAGCCCUUUUGUUGGGAAAGAAAUCCAGCCGGCUAAUACCUGGUUGGGAUGACGGUACCCAAAGAAUAAGCACCGGCUAACUUCGUGCCAGCAGCCGCGGUAAUACGAAGGGUGCAAGCGUUACUCGGAAUUACUGGGCGUAAAGCGUGCGUAGGUGGUUAUUUAAGUCCGUUGUGAAAGCCCUGGGCUCAACCUGGGAACUGCAGUGGAUACUGGAUGACUAGAAUGUGGUAGAGGGGUAGCGGAAUUCCUGGUGUAGCAGUGAAAAUGCGUAGAGAUCAGGAGGACAUCCAGGGCGAAGGCGGCACCUGGACCCACAUUGACACUGAGGCACAAAAACGUGAGUUGCAACAGG